GAUGAACGCUGGCGGCGUGCUUAACACAUGCAAGUCGAACGGGAAUUACUUUAUUGAAACUUCGGUCGAUUUAAUUUAAUUCUAGUGGCGGACGGGUGAGUAACGCGUGGGUAACCUGCCUUAUACAGGGGGAUAACAGUCAGAAAUGGCUGCUAAUACCGCAUAAGCGCACAGAGCUGCAUGGCUCGGUGUGAAAAACUCCGGUGGUAUAAGAUGGACCCGCGUUGGAUUAGCUUGUUGGUGGGGUAACGGCCCACCAAGGCGACGAUCCAUAGCCGGCCUGAGAGGGUGAACGGCCACAUUGGGACUGAGGCACGGCCCAGACUCCUACGGGAGGCAGCAGUGGGGAAUAUUGCACAAUGGGGGAAACCCUGAUGCAGCGACGCCGCGUGAAGGAAGAAGUAUCUCGGUAUGUAAACUUCUAUCAGCAGGGAAGAUAGUGACGGUACCUGACGAAGAAGCCCCGGCUAACUACGUG
rnacentral:rRNA from 1 species